UUUUUUUUUUUUUUUUUUUUUUUUUUUUUUUCU
rnacentral:ribozyme from 2 species